GUGGGGAAUAUUGGGCAAUGGGGGAAACCCUGACCCAGCGACGCCGCGUGAGGGAAGAAGGCCUUAGGGUCGUAAACCUCUGUUGUGUGGGAAGAAGAGCGUGACGGUACCACACGAGGAAGUCCCGGCUAACUACGUGCCAGCAGCCGCGGUAAUACGUAGGGGACGAGCGUUGUCCGGAUUUACUGGGCGUAAAGGGCGCGUAGGCGGUCAUUUAAGUCAGCUGUGAAAUGGUUUGGCUUAACCGGAUCAUGCGGUUGAAACUGGAUGACUGGAGUGCUGUAGAGGCAAGUGGAAUUCCCAGUGUAGCGGUGAAAUGCGUAGAUAUUGGGAAGAACACCGGUGGCGAAGGCGACUUGCUGGCCAGCAACUGACGCUGAGGCGCGAAAGCCAGGGGAGCAAACGGGAUUAGAUACCCCUGUAGUCC
rnacentral:rRNA from 1 species